rnacentral:rRNA from 1 species
UACGUAGGGAGCAAGCGUUGUCCGGAAUCAUUGGGCGUAAAGCGCGCGUAGGUGGCCCCAUAAGUCCGCUGUGAAAGUCAAAGGCUCAACCUUUGAAAGCCGGUGGAUACUGUGGGACUAGAGUACGGAAGAGGCGAGUGGAAUUCCUGGUGUAGCGGUGGAAUGCGCAGAUAUCAAGGAAGAACACCGGUGGCGAAGGCGGGUCUCUGGGCCGAUACUGACGCUGAGGUGCGAAAGCGUGGGGAGCAAACAGG